CAGGAACGGAGGCUGAUGGGACCAAGACCAUGAUCUUCAGCUGUCAAGGGCUCAUCCUUCAGAUGUCGGGGGGCAGCUGCCAGCUUUACUUGUUCAACACGAGAAGGAAGGAUGGGCGGACGGAUUAUGUAUGUAUGUUACAAGUUACAUGGCUGAAAAACACUCCUGACCAGGUCCUGCUUGUAUCGAGGAGCUGAAGACCAUAGCAAAUCAAGUCACCGUCCAUUCUUCUACCUACACCGAUACACUGUAACAAACCUGUCACCUGUUAAAAAAUGGAAGGCCACUAGAAAACUUGUGCAGAGUCAAUUUGUCACCCAGUAUGGCACCUUCCCAGACCUUGCCAGCCCCUUGUUUACACUAUGGACAUAGGUUCAGAUAGGAAAUCCCAUCCCUGCAGAGACACCCGGCCACCAUAGUAAGACCUUGGUGGGACUCUAGCCUCGCUCACUCUUUAUACCUGAGUCUAGGCGUGGAGCAGAGUUACUGCCCUGCAAGAAUCCUCUCUCUCCACCUUCUUUCUCCAGGCCCAGAAAGGAAAACACGCAGGUACGGGAGAAUUUGGAAAAAAAAUGAUUGGUAUUUCUUCAUAGAGCUGAGAAUGGAAGGGGGCAGGACGAGGGUGCGGUGUCUCAGGUGAGGCUCACAGCACAGGAGGCCGGCUAAAAAUAAGUGACAGGGAACACCCAGUAGCACUAUGAGGCAGUGGAUUACCUGGGAGGAAGUGCUGCCUGUAUUGUUCCAAAGGGGAAAUGGCUGCAGGACCCUCAGCGAGGGACAGAGCGUAACCGAGACUUACAGGGCGGACAGCAGGCAGUGGUUAUUGAGAGCAACAGGGCAGGUGUCAUAUCUAUAAGGCAGCCUGCACACAUUGCAGAUUGCGUGCAGUUUUUAUACGCUGAUUUUCAUGUGAAAAACAGCAGUGUAAGGGUCCGUUCACACGUCUGUAAGUGUUCUGCGGAUCCACAAAUUGCGUAUCCGCAAAACGUGGACACCGGAAAUGUGCAUUCCGCAAUUUGCAGACCGCUCAU